UCUCUGGAAUGUUUACUGCGCUAAGACCGAAAAGCUUGAAGAGACCGGACAGAAUUAGAUACCCUGGUAGUCCCAAGCUGUAAACCGAAACCCACUUGGUAUGGGGAUUUUUGACCGUCCCGGUGCCGUAGCUAACGCAUUAAAGUACGCCACCUGGGGGAGUACGCCCCCAAGGCUAAAACUCAAAGAAAUUGACGGGGGCCCGCACAAGCGGAGGGAGCAUGUGGGCUUAAUUCGAUGCAACGCGAAGAACCUUACCAGGAGCUUGACAUGCAGCUGCACCCCCCCUUUUUUUUUUUUUAAAGCUUUCAAACCGCCGCACAAAAAAACCCUGGCUGUCGACAGUUCGUGACCGUGAGGUGUUUGGUUAAGUCCAGCAACGAACGCAACCCCUGUGUUCAGUUGUCCACCGCGGGUGAUGAGCCUGCGAGCACUCUAGACAGACUGCCCGUACAAGCGGGAGGAAGGUGGGGAUGACGUCAAGUCAGUAUGUCCCUUAUGUCCUGGGCUGCACACGUGCUACAAUGGUCGGUACAAUGGGAAGCGAAGCCGCGAGGCGAAGCAAAUCCCCAAAGCCGGCCCCAGUUCGGAUUGGAGUCUGCAAUUCGACUCCAUGAAGUUGGAUUCGCCAGUAACGGCGUAUCAGCUACGACGCCGUGAAUACGUUCCCGGGCCUUGUACACCCCCCCCGUCACUUCAAAAAAGCCGUCUGCACCCGAAGUCCCCGA
rnacentral:rRNA from 1 species